rnacentral:rRNA from 1 species
GGUAUGGACCUUUCGGGGUUCAGAGAGUGGCGAACGGGUGAGUAACACGUAGGUAAUCUACCCUCAAGGACGGGGACAACCCAGGGAAACUUGGGCUAAUACCGGAUGUGUGUAGUGACUAUUUUUCUGAUUAUCAUUAUUUACGUAAGUGAGUGAUAAUAAGAAGGGAAAGUGGUUAUUACAUAAGAGGUGGCGUAACUGCCGCUUGGGGAUGAGCCUGCGUCCUAUUAGUUAGUUGGUGAGGUAACGGCUUACCAAGGCGAUGAUAGGUAGGCGGCCUUAACGGGUGGUCGCCCACACUGGGAUUGAGAUACGGCCCAGACUCCUACGGGAGGCAGCAGUCGAGAAUAGUCUACAAUGGACGGAAGUCUGAUAGUGCGACGCCGCGUGAACGAAGAAUCCCUUCGGGGUGUAAAGUUCUUUUAUACGUGAGCAGUGUCCUUUAUAUUAAUAGUAUAAGGGGAGAGAUAUUAGCGUAUGAAUAAGCAACGGCUAACUCCGUGCCAGCAGCCGCGGUAACACGGGGGUUGCGAGCGUUGUCCGGAAUUACUAGGCGUAAAGUGCAGGUAGGCGGAUAAAUAAGUUUAAGGUUAAAGGCUACGGCUUACCCGUAGUAAGGCGUUAGAUACUGUUUAUCUGGAAUGCGGUUGAGGGAGACAGAAUUCCUGGUGUAGCGGUGGAAUGCGCAGAGAUCAGGAGGAAUACCGAAGGCGAAGGCAGUCUUCUAAGCCGAUAUUGACGCUAAACUGCGAAGGUGUGGGGGAUCAAACAGGAUUAGAUACCCUGGUAGUCCACACAGUAAACGAUAAUCACUAGGUGUUGGGUUCUUAAGAGGAUUCAGUGCCGGACUAACGCGAUAAGUGAUUCGCCUGGGGAGUACGAUCGCAAGGUUGAAACUCAAAGGAAUUGACGGGGGCCGCACAAGCGGUGGAGCAUGUGGUUUAAUUCGACGCAACGCGAAGAACCUUACCUGGGCUCGAACGGCUACUCACAGAGGCAGAAAUGUCUUGUCUCUUCGGGAGAGUAUAGUCGAGGUGCUGCAUGGCUGUCGUCAGCUCGUGUCGUGAGAUGUUGGGUUAAGUCCCGCAACGAGCGCAACCCUUACUAGUAGUUACUAACGGACAAUGCCGAGGACUCUACUGGGACUGCCUGCGACAAGCAGGAGGAAGGUGGGGACGACGUCAAGUCAUCAUGGCCCUUACGUCCAGGGCUACACACGUGCUACAAUGGCUGGCACAAAGAGACGCAAAGUGGCGACACUGAGCAAAUCUGAGAAAUCCAGCCCCAGUUCGGAUAGGAGUCUGCAAUUCGACUCCUUGAAGUUGGAAUCGCUAGUAAUCGCAGAUCAGAAUGCUGCGGUGAAUACGUUCCCGGGCC